AUUGAACGCUGGCGGCAGGCCUAACACAUGCAAGUCGAGCGGAUGAGAGGAGCUUGCUCCUUGAUUUAGCGGCGGACGGGUGAGUAAUGCCUAGGAAUCUGCCUGGUAGUGGGGGAUAACGUUCCGAAAGGAACGCUAAUACCGCAUACGUCCUACGGGAGAAAGCAGGGGACCUUCGGGCCUUGCGCUAUCAGAUGAGCCUAGGUCGGAUUAGCUAGUUGGUGAGGUAAUGGCUCACCAAGGCGACGAUCCGUAACUGGUCUGAGAGGAUGAUCAGUCACACUGGAACUGAGACACGGUCCAGACUCCUACGGGAGGCAGCAGUGGGGAAUAUUGGACAAUGGGCGAAAGCCUGAUCCAGCCAUGCCGCGUGUGUGAAGAAGGUCUUCGGAUUGUAAAGCACUUUAAGUUGGGAGGAAGGGCAGUAAGUUAAUACCUUGCUGUUUUGACGUUACCGACAGAAUAAGCACCGGCUAACUUCGUGCCAGCAGCCGCCGCCGUAA
rnacentral:rRNA from 1 species